rnacentral:rRNA from 1 species
CCUACGGGUGGCUGCAGUGGGGAAUAUUGGACAAUGGGGGCAACCCUGAUCCAGCCAUGCCGCGUGUGUGAAGAAGGCCCUCGGGUUGUAAAGCACUUUCAGUGAGGAAGAACGCCUGGUGGUUAAUACCCAUCAGGAAAGACAUCACUCACAGAAGAAGCACCGGCUAACUCCGUGUCAGCGGCCGCGGUAAUACGGAGGGUGCGAGCGUUAAUCGGAAUUACUGGGCGUAAAGCGCGCGUAGGUGGCUUGAUAAGCCGGUUGUGAAAGCCCCGGGCUCAACCUGGGAACGGCAUCCGGAACUGUCAAGCUAGAGUGCAGGAGAGGAAGGUAGAAUUCCCGGUGUAGCGGUGAAAUGCGUAGAGAUCGGGAGGAAUACCAGUGGCGAAGGCGGCCUUCUGGACUGACACUGACACUGAGGUGCGAAAGCGUGGGUAGCAAACAGGAUUAGAUACCCUAGUAGUC